GGCAGUGUAUUAUUUGACAAAAAGAGAGAGCUCCAACGGCUCUCUUCAAUAGCCAACAGUGGGGACAGCUGGCCAUGUUUAACGGUAACAAAAAUAAUAUUAAAAAAGGGAGGCAUACGUUUCCAUGGGCCAGUUACAUAUUAACGGAUGCUCUCUCCUCCAAAUAGAGAAAAAAUGAAAUAGAAAGUGAAAAGGAGAAAGGUGGAUGUUCACGAUAAAAUAAUAAAAGAAGGAAAAAAGAAGAAAUCUCUCUCACUCACCUCACUAUCACCCACCUCCACUAACAAACCAAACCCUCGCCGUUUACCGUUUUCAACAUUACAAACCCAUUCACCUUCAUCAACUCACCUUCCGACCGUCACCAACCUCCGCCAUGAUUAUCGCUAUGAAAUCUCCUCACCCAAACACACCUUUCAUCAACUACUCAUAGCCUCGCCGCAAUUACCAACUCUGAUACGUCUUAAUUCCGAUUUCCACUCUGAUUACGUUUCGAUUAGAUUAAGCUUGUGAUAAGUUUUCUGUUUAGAUCUGUUGCAGGUUUCAGCAUCGAAGUUACUUUUUCCAGGAGAAGAAAAACGUUUGAGAAACAAUGCUCCAGAUCUGUUUCUACCGAAGCUACAACGCCAACUCGGCGGUGAUUCUCAACAACAAUGAAGCGGAAGCAUCAAACAACAAUGGAACCUUGUUUUCUUCUUCUUUUUUUUUUUGCUUUAAUGCGAUUGGGUUUUUGUCUGUUUGAUUUUUUUGUAGCUCAUUGCCGCUCACAAUCGUUGCGGGUUCGAUUCAGGAUCUAUAUUCAAUUUUGAACUGAUUACGACAUCGUCAGAGUCCAUUCCAUUUCUAACCGCACAAGAAUAACCACCGUGUACACAUCUCAUGGGAAUUGGCUAUUCUUAGAAUGAGCCUUAACUUUCAAUGUAUGUUCUUAAGUUUUAAUUUAUUAUAAUGUAUUUUCGGUGAUGGAUAAUGUUCAGUAAGAUUUUGUUUAUAUCAUAGUCAUGGUAAAAAGCAAAUUUUAAUGCUUAUUUUUUAACAUGUAUGUUAAUUGAUCUUAUAAAGAUUUUCACAGCUUAAAAAUAUUGUUAUGUUGUGGACUAAUCUUAUGUUACUUUGUUUAUUUUAAGCAAUCUACAUAAUUUUAAAAAAGGGGUAAAUUACAACUACAUUGUUACUUUUAAUUUCAUGCAUGAUGUAGCUUGGAUUUGCCUUUAACAUGGUAGCAUGAUUUACAUAUUGCAAAUAAUUGGAUUUUUUAGUUAUAAAUAUCUAUGUAGAUAUUACAUU